CAAAGAGUAGUUUAAUUUAAAAUUCUAGCUUUGGGAGCUAUAGAUAGGAGUUAAAAUCUUCUCUCUUUGA
rnacentral:tRNA from 1 species